AUCAACUUUCUCCCUCUGUUCUCUCUCUCUCUCUCGGAUUUUGGAUCAAAAUGACUUCCUCGGAUCCUCCUCCUCAAUGUAUCUUCAUCGACGACGGCUGAGAAAUGCCUUAGCGCUUCUUCUUCUUCUUCUUCGUGUACAUUGCUGGUUUUGCUUUACUUUUGAGGUAGAAAUUAUACGAGUGAUGGAUUACAACUGGCAUUGCUUAUCUCCAGGCAUUGUAAUCGUCUACAAUGUUGAUGUUCCUCUACGGCGACGGACUUUUCGGCAUUGAAAACAGAAAAAGGAACGAGGAUGUGGAAUGUUGUUCGGUGAAGGUCGUUGUGUGAUUCCUAAACCUAAACCUAAGCCUAUAUUUGAUGAUGCUCAAGCAAUCAUGUAAGGUAUGUUUUCAUAACGUAUCCAUAAUAAUAUAAGAUCAGUAUCAGAUUCAAUUUAUACACGGUCAUUCUUAGCUCUAGACAUAGUUCAUUUUAAAA